rnacentral:rRNA from 1 species
UACAGAGGUCUCAAGCGUUGUUCGGAUUCAUUGGGCGUAAAGGGUGCGUAGGCGGCGCGGUAAGUCGGGUGUGAAAUCUCGGGGCUUAACUCCGAAACUGCAUUCGAUACUGCCGUGCUUGAGGACUGGAGAGGAGACUGGAAUUUACGGUGUAGCGGUGAAAUGCGUAGAUAUCGUAAGGAAGACCAGUGGCGAAGGCGGGUCUCUGGACAGCUUCCUGA